GAUGAACGCUGGCGGCGUGCCUAAUACAUGCAAGUCGAGCGAACAGACGAGGAGCUUGCUCCUCUGACGUUAGCGGCGGACGGGUGAGUAACACGUGGAUAACCUACAUAUAAGACUGGGAUAACUUCGGGAAACCGGAUCUAAUACCGGAUAAUAUAUUGAACCGCAUGGUUCAAUAGUGAAAGACGGUUUUGCUGUCACUUAUAGAUGUAUCCGCGCCGCAUUAGCUAGUUGGUAAGGUAACGGCUUACCAAGGCAACGAUGCGUAGCCGACCUGAGAGGGUGAUCGGCCACACUGGAACUGAGACACGGUCCAGACUCCUACGGGAGGCAGCAGUAGGGAAUCUUCCGCAAUGGGCGAAAGCCUGACGGAGCAACGCCGCGUGAGUGAUGAAGGUCUUCGGAUCGUAAAACUCUGUUAUUAGGGAAGAACAAAUGUGUAAGUAACUAUGCACGUCUUGACGGUACCUAAUCAGAAAGCCACGGCUAACUACGUG
rnacentral:rRNA from 1 species